GAAUCUCGAUAGCCUCAUCUUUUAUCAGUGAAAGUUGCUCCUACAACACAGUGGAAGCAAAAAGGCUGAAGCUUGAGAGCACCAGAACUAGAACUUUGAGCCAUGUCAGGCCAAAAGAGCUGCGGAGCUUCAAACUUGAACGAGAAUGAGAUUGAUGAUCUUGUGUCAAGGUUACAAGCACUUCUGCCACGCCAGAACCGAAGGACUGACUCAAGGGUAUCAGUGUCGAAGAUCUUGAAAGAAACUUGCAGUCACAUCAAGAAGCUACAAAACGAGGUGGAAGAGCUCAGUGAAAGGCUAAUAGAGCUGAUGGAUUCCGGUGACAUAAGGGAUAUAGACGAGGAGACUCUUAGAAGAUUGUUGCAACAUUGACAAAUAAUGAAGCCUCUAGAGUCUAGGCCCUAUCACCUACCUCUUAGCUUUUUCUCUUCUCUGUUGCGUACCCUAUGUUGGUGGGCUUCGACCACUAUAUAUUUACUGUAUCAAACAUAUCUAGUAUGUGAUAUCUUGUCGUUGAAAUGCUACCGACCUGCCAUAUGCUUGGUUCAAUGUGUGAAAUGAACAACUCUGUGCCAUUUAUGGGGAA